rnacentral:misc_RNA from 1 species
GAUGAAGAACGUAGCGAAAUGCGAUAAGUAAUGUGAAUUGCAGAAUUCAGUGAAUCAUCGAAUCUUUGAACGCACAUUGCGCCCAUUAGCAUUCUAGUGGGCAUGCCUGUUCGAGCGUCAUUUCAACCCUUAAGCCCUGUUGCUUAGCGUUGGGAGCCUACAGUACUGUAGCUCCCCAAAGUUAGUGGCGGAGUCGGUUUCACACUCUAGACGUAGUAAUUUUUUCUCGUCUGUAGUUGAGCCGGUCCCCUGCCGUAAAACACCCAAUUUAUCAAGGUUGACCUCGGAUCAGGUAGGAAUACCCGCUGAACUUAAGCAUAUCAAUAAGCAGAGGA